GCCCAAGUUGAUCCUGGCUCAGGACGAACGCUGGCGGCGGGCCUAACACAUGCAAGUCGAAGGAGAAGGAAGGAGCUUGCUCUUUCUGGAGACUGGCGCACGGGUGAGUAACGCGUAGACAACCUGCCUAUAGCAGGGGGAUAACCACCGGAAACGGUGGCUAAUACCGCAUAAUGCAGCGGGGCCGCAUGGCCACAGUUGUUAAAGAUGCGAAUCGGCUAUAGAUGGGUCUGCGUGCUAUUAGUUAGUUGGUAAGGUAACGGCUUACCAAGACGAUGAUAGCUAGGGGGUCUGAGAGGAUGAUCCCCCACACUGGAACUGAGACACGGUCCAGACUCCUACGGGAGGCAGCAGUGAGGAAUCUUGCGCAAUGGGCGAAAGCCUGACGCAGCCACGCCGCGUGCCGGAAGACGGCCCUAUGGGUUGUAAACUGCUUUUAUAAGGGAAUAACCUUCCGUACGCGUACGGAACUGCAUGUACCUUAUGAAUAAGCAUCGGCUAACUCCGUGCCAGC
rnacentral:rRNA from 1 species